AACGAACGCUGGCGGCAGGCUUAACACAUGCAAGUCGAACGGGCCCUUCGGGGUCAGUGGCAGACGGGUGAGUAACACGUGGGAACGUGCCCUUCAGUUCGGAAUAACCCAGGGAAACUUGGGCUAAGACCGGAUACGCCCCUUGGGGGAAAGAUUUAUCGCUGAAGGAUCGGCCCGCGUCUGAUUAGCUAGUUGGUGAGGUAAAGGCUCACCAAGGCGACGACCAGUAGCUGGUCUGAGAGGAUGAUCAGCCACACUGGGACUGAGACACGGCCCAGACUCCUACGGGAGGCAGCAGUGGGGAAUAUUGGACAAUGGGCGCAAGCCUGAUCCAGCCAUGCCGCGUGAGUGAUGAAGGCCUUAGGGUUGUAAAGCUCUUUCGUCCGGGACGAUAAUGACGGUACCGGAAGAAGAAGCCCCGGCUAACUUCGUGCCAGCAGCCGCUGUAAAAC
rnacentral:rRNA from 1 species